AUUGAACGCUGGCGGCAUGCUUUACACAUGCAAGUCGAACGGCAGCGGGGUAGUGCUUGCACUACUGCCGGCGAGUGGCGAACGGGUGAGUAAUAUAUUGGAACGUACCGAGUAAUGGGGGAUAACCAAUCGAAAGAUUGGCUAAUACCGCAUACGCUCUGAGGAGGAAAGCAGGGGACCUUCGGGCCUUGCGUUAUUCGAGCGGCCAAUAUCUGAUUAGCUAGUUGGUGGGGUAAAGGCCUACCAAGGCGACGAUCAGUAGCGGGUCUGAGAGGAUGAUCCGCCACACUGGGACUGAGACACGGCCCAGACUCCUACGGGAGGCAGCAGUGGGGAAUUUUGGACAAUGGGCGCGAGCCUGAUCCAGCCAUGCCGCGUGUCUGAAGAAGGCCUUCGGGUUGUAAAGGACUUUUGUUAGGGAAGAAAAAGGAGCGGUUAAUACCCGUUUCUGCUGACGGUACCUAAAGAAUAAGCACCGGCUAACUACGUGCCAGCAGCCGCGGUAAUACGUAGGGUGCGAGCGUUAAUCGGAAUUACUGGGCGUAAAGCGAGCGCAGACGGUUACUUAAGCAGGAUGUGAAAUCCCCGGGCUCAACCUGGGAACUGCGUUCUGAACUGGGUAGCUAGAGUAUGUCAGAGGGGGGUAGAAUUCCACGUGUAGCAGUGAAAUGCGUAGAGAUGUGGAGGAAUACCGAUGGCGAAGGCAGCCCCCUGGGAUAAUACUGACGUUCAUGCUCGAAAGCGUGGGUAGCAAACAGG
rnacentral:rRNA from 1 species